rnacentral:pre_miRNA from 1 species
GGUCCAAAUUUGAAGUCGAGUGGAUUAGAAGGAUCGGCAGACUUUGCUAAACUACUCUACUUCAAGUUUGUGCCA